GCUUCCUACGGGAGGCAGCAGUGGGGAAUUUUGGACAAUGGGCGCAAGCCUGAUCCAGCAAUGCCGCGUGAGUGAAGAAGACCUUCGGGUUGUAAAGCUCUUUUGUCAGGGAAGAAACGGCUGCGGCUAAUAUCCGCGGCUAAUGACGGUACCUGAAGAAUAAGCACCGGCUAACUACGUGCCAGCAGCCGCGGUAAUACGUAGGGUGCAAGCGUUAAUCGGAAUUACUGGGCGUAAAGCGUGCGCAGGCGGUUUUGUAAGUCUGACGUGAAAUCCCCGGGCUCAACCUGGGAAUUGCGUUGGAGACUGCAAGGCUGGAGUCUGGCAGAGGGGGGUAGAAUUCCACGUGUAGCAGUGAAAUGCGUAGAGAUGUGGAGGAACACCGAUGGCGAAGGCAGCCCCCUGGGCCAAGACUGACGCUCAUGCACGAAAGCGUGGGGAGCAAACAGGAUUAGAUACCCUGGUAGUCCACGCCCUAAACGAUGUCUACUAGUCGUCGGGUCUUAAUUGACUUGGUAACGCAGCUAACGCG
rnacentral:rRNA from 1 species